rnacentral:rRNA from 1 species
CGGACCUUGGCGGACUGCUCAGUAACACGUGGACAAUCUGCCCUUGGGUGGGGUAUAAUCUCGGGAAACUGAGGACAAUCCCCCAUAGAUCUAGGAUGCUGGAAUGCUUCUAGGUUCAAAGUUCAGGCGCCCAAGGAUGAGUCUGCGGCCUAUCAGGUAGUAGUGGGUGUAAGGGACCCACUAGCCAACGACGGGUACGGGCCUUGGGAGAGGUUGCCCGGAGAUGGACUCUGAGACACGAGUCCAGGCCCCACGGGGCGCAGCAGGCGCGAAAACUUCACACUGCAGGAAACUGCGAUGAGGGGAUUCCAAGUGCUAAUGCACUGCAUUAGCUGUUCAAUAGCCUAAAAAGCUGUUGAAGUAAGGGCUGGGUAAGACGGGUGCCAGCCGCCGCGGUAAUACCCGCAGCCCGAGUGGUGAUCGUUAUUAUUGAGCCUAAAGCGUCCGUAGCCGGUUCAGUAAAUCUCUGGGUAAAUCGAACGGCUUAACCGUUCGAAUUCCGGAGCGACUGCUGGACUUGGGACCGGGAGAGGUCGGAGGUACUUCUGGGGUAGGGGUGAAAUCCUGUAAUCCUAGAAGGACCACCAGUGGCGAAGGCGUCCGACUAGAACGGGUUCGACGGUGAGGGACGAAGCCCUGGGGCGCAAACCGGAUUAGAUACCCGGGUAGUCCAGGGUGUAAACGCUGCAGACUUGGUGUUGGGCGUCCUACGAGGGCAUCCAGUGCCGGAGAGAAGUUGUUAAGUCUGCCGCUUGGGGAGUACGGUCGCAAGACUGAAACUUAAAGGAAUUGGCGGGGGAGCACAGCAACGGGAGGAGCGUGCGGUUCAAUUGGAUUCAACGCCGGAAAACUCACCGGGGGCGACGGUUACAUGAAGGCCAAGCUGAUGACUUUGCCUGAUUUUCCGAGAGGUGGUGCAUGGCCGCCGUCAGUUCGUACCGUAAGGCGUUCUGUUAAGUCAGAUAACGAACGAGACCCUCACCCUUAAUUGCCAGUUGCCUCUCAGGAGGUAAGGGACAUUAGGGGGACCGCCAUUGCUAAAGUGGAGGAAGGGGAGGGCAACGGUAGGUCCGUAUGCCCCGAAUCCCUCGGGCUACACGCGCGCUACAAAGAGUAGGACAAUGGGAUCCGACACCGAGAGGUGAAGGUAAACCCGAAACCUACCCAUAGUUCGGAUUGAGGGCUGUAACUCGCCCUCAUGAAGCUGGAUUCCGUAGUAAUCGCGGGUCAACAUCCCGCGGUGAAUGUGCCCCUGCUCCUUGCACACACCGCCCGUCAAACCAUCCGAGUUGGGUCUAGAUGAGGUUGUCUCUAUUUGGGGCGUUCGAAUCUGGGUUCAGCAAGGAGGGUUAAGUCGUAACAAGGUA